UACGAAGGGAGCGAGCGUUGUUCGGAAUCACUGGGCUUAAAGCGUGCGUAGGCGGAUUGGUAAGUAAGAAGUGAAAUCCCAGGGCUUAACCCUGGAACUGCUUUUUAGACUGCCUGUCUGGAAUUCGGUAGAGGUUGGUGGAACUCCUAGUGUAGAGGUGAAAUUCGCAGAUAUUAGGAAGAACACCGGUGGCGAAGGCGACCAACUGGACCGAUAUUGACGCUGAGGCACGAAAGCGUGGGUAGCAAACAGG
rnacentral:rRNA from 1 species